CAAGACAAUUACUUUGGGUCAAUCGUUAAAGUAUAUAAAAAAGAUUAUCGAUACUUUGACUCUAACGUCGUAGCUUACCAAGACCUUAAAAUCGUAGCUUACCAAGACUAGAGAUCUGCUGAUACUACGUGGAUCUCUGAUUUUCCUAAGAUUAAAGGGAAAGACUUGAUAGAGAUGUAGCUGAUACUACAUUGGUCUCUGCUUUUCCUAAGGCAGGUAUCAAGAUCCUUCCUAUUAAGGAUUCAUAUCAUGCCCCUUUGGUUCUUGAUCUUUUCCUUAUUAAGGACAUGUUUCGCACCCCUUUCUGAUUCUUAGAUGUUUGGUGUGGAGACCCGGGUUGUAUAGAGGUCAUCCGUAGAGCUUGGGAUAAAUCCUUUCAUGGAUUGCAGAAUUUUCAAUUACAAGCUAAGCUUAAUAGUACCAGAAAAGCCUUGAAGAUUUAGAAUAGGGAAGGCUUUGGAUUCUGUCAAGACAAAAUGAAGCUGCUUCAGGAAUUUUUUGUUCAAGUUCAGAAUCGCCCGAUUACCCCAGACAAUAAGCAACUUGAGGCCUCUAUGUUGUUGGAAAUUGAAAAAUAUAGCAAAAUGCCAAGCAGAGAUUUGGAGACAGAAGUCUAUAAAAUUGUGGCUUAAAUAUGGAGAUCAUAACUCAAAAUUCUUUAAUGCUUCAACGGUGGUUAGGAGGCAUCGGAACCGGAUUUGGUUUGUUUCUGAUGAGGGGAUAAACUGGUUACUGGGAAGGUCAGAUAUUGGAGCCUACUUCACUUGUAAUUUUACUGAAUCUUUUAAAUCCUCCAACUCGAAUAUUCAAUAUUUGUGGUUUGAGAUCACUAGGCCUGAAAUGAGUCAGGAGUCUAACGACUUCAUUGCUAGAUUCCCUUAUUUGGAGAAAGUUAAAGCUGUGGUUUGGAGUAUGCUGCCUCUGAAGUCUCCAGGUCCUGAUGGUAUGCCAGCCAAAUUUUAAAAACAGUAUUGGGACACUGUAGGGAAAGAUUUAGUCGCAGCUGUCCAGGAGUUCUUUGUGACGAGGAAAUUGUCGAGAAGUAUGAUUCGUACCUUCAUUGAGCUUAUUCCGAAAUCAGAGGCAGCUCAGGGGUUCAACGAUUAUAGACCUAUUAGUCUGUGCAAUGUGGUCUAUAAGGUAAUCUCAAAAAUCUUGGCUAAUAUAAUUAAGAAGUUUAUUGAUGAUCUUAUUUCUCCUUGUCAAUUGCCUUUCGUUCCGGGGAGGUGGAUUGCAGAUAAUACGAUUCUUGCUCAAGAAACAAUUCAUACUAUGAAGAGAAGGAAUGGCCAGGUGGGGAUAUGGGGAUAAAACUUGAAAUGUCUAAGGAUUACAACCGUAUGGAGUGGAGGUUCGUGGAUCAGGUCCUACUUGAUUUUGGUUUUUCUACCAAAGUGCGUGAGUUAAUCUCUUCUUGUGUCUCCACAGUUGCCUUCUCGGUGCUCCUCAACGCAGGCUCGCAGAAAGAUUUUAGGCCUGAUCGUGGUUUGAGGCAAGGGGAUCCUUCUCGCCCUACUUAUUUAUUCUUUGUAGUGAGGUUUUAUCUCGGCUAAUUGCUAGGGUGGAAACCAAGGGUUCCAUCUCAAGUUUUCGAAUUUCCCAAAACGGCCCGCCUAUUUCACAUAUUCUUUAUGCGAAUGAUUGCUUCCUCUUUUGUAAGGCGAAAGAUCAGGAGGUUAGUGCUCUCCAGGGGUUCAUUGACCUUCAUUUCUCCUGGUUGGGUCAGCAUGUAAAUAUUGACAAAUCGACUGUCAUUUUCUCUGAUAAUACUAGAAGGACAGAUCGUGAGAGGUUGAAGGCGAAGUUGGGUUUUAAGUUUAUGGAUGAGAAGGCAACUUUCCUUGGAAACUCCCUAUGUCUUUCCAAAAACAAGAAAUAUUCUUUUUCUUUUAUCAAGGACAGAGUCCUCAAGAGACUAGAAGUUUUUGUGAAUAAAAAUGAAGAUUUGAAUACUUGGAGGAAAUUGGUUCAAAAAAGAGAAGGAAUAUCCAAGUUUCGGUGUUGUUUUCGACAAAUGAUGGAUCUCGACAUGAUUUGAAGGCAUUGGUGAUUUUUCGGGCUUAAAAAUGCAUGAGUUGAAGAAUUUCUUAAGGGUCACGACUUGAGCACUUUGGAGUCGCGACCAGCCACUUAACAAAAUCAAUGUUUCAGAGUCGAGACUCGGGCCGCGACAUGGCUAAGGAGGGUCGCGACUUUGCAAAGCUAAAUCCCAGAAAUCAAAGACACGGGCCACGGCAUGGCUUUGGGAGAGCAGUGGCCUAGAGGUGCACAGUCUCAGGAAUUAGGGACACGGGCUGCGGCAUGGUGCAAGUAGAGCUGCAGCCCGCCUCUCUUAAAAACGAAAAAAUUAGGUUUUAUAGAAAAAAAAAAGGGGGGGAAACUGAAAAGUAGGACAGAUAGAGGGGAGUAGUGAGAUUGUUUUGGUGGUUGAAAAGCUUGGAGAAUUCUUAAGUGUUUGUUAUUCAUCUACUUCUUUAUGUUGUUCUUGAAUUUAUUUAUGAUUAGAAUGACAGUCAUGAACUAAUUUUCUGUUUAGAGCUAUUA